CUUAAGUGCCACCACAAAGAAUGGUCCCUUAACAAUCUACUCCAAAAGUCGCGAUUGAAACCGACAAUAUGGGUUUUCGAUCCAUGAUGUAUGGAGGAGUGCAGAAUGAGGGCCUAACAUAGAAACUUCCCAUGGUUCAUUUACACUUGAGCUUCUAUAUUCUUUUACUUUUGGUUUUUGUUGUUUUGCAAAAGGGGUUUUUGCGUAAGGAGGAAAAAAUUAAUAUUUAUACUUUAAAAGUAGAUGUAGUACAAGAAUGCGCUAAGAACUUGCUGUGAUUUCCUAAAGCUUUCUUUGAGAAGGUCUGCAGAGAUGUGGUCUGCGCACUGCUGUUUCAGUUACUAAGAUAGACCUAGCUGUUAUUGGCAUAUUGUAGCUUCAGUUCCUUGACUUUUGUCACUUGGAACUGGUUUUCUCAUUAUUUGGGAUAAUAUACUAUAGGCUGCUGGUAUGACAAGAUCAACACCCGAGAUAGGGGCACUUGAGCAUCUCCAAAAUAGCAAAUUCACUGGAAAGAGAACAACAAGAUGUCAAAUUUUUGUAAUGUUUCAGUCAUUUUUUAAAGAGGAAAGGAAUAAAAGGUUUAAU